AACAACGGAUCUCUUGGUUCCGGCAUCGAUGAAGAACGCAGCGAAAUGCGAUAAGUAAUGUGAAUUGCAGAAUUCAGUGAAUCAUCGAGUCUUUGAACGCACAUUGCGCCCCCUGGUAUUCCGGGGGGCAUGCCUGUCCGAGCGUCAUUGCUGCCCUC
rnacentral:rRNA from 1 species